rnacentral:rRNA from 1 species
UACGUAGGGUGCAAGCGUUGUCCGGAAUUAUUGGGCGUAAAGAGCUCGUAGGCGGUCUGUCGCGUCGGCUGUGAAACCUUGGGGCUCAACCCCAAGCCUGCAGUCGAUACGGGCAGACUAGAGUGCGGUAGGGGAGACUGGAAUUCCUGGUGUAGCGGUGAAAUGCGUAGAUAUCAAGAGGAACACCUGAGGUGAAGACGGGUUGCUGGGCUGACACUGACGCUGAGGCGCGAAAGCCAGGGGAGCAAACGGG